rnacentral:rRNA from 1 species
AAGCGGGAAGAGCUCAAAUUUAAAAUCUGGCGGUCCUUUCCGUCCGAGUUGUAUUCUGGAGAAGUGCUUUGCGCGCUGGACCGUGUAUAAGUCUCUUGGAACAGAGCGUCAUAGAGG